CUUGUAUUACAUACGUACGUGGUGCUCAGCAAAACUAAAACUUUUCUUACACAAUAAACCUCAAUCUCCUUCGGAACCACCGUCGUUUGUAAGUAGAUGAAGAAAUUUCACUUCAGCCACCAACGUCGCCACCGCCGAACGUAACCAACCUAACCUGACCGUACCUCGCGUUACGUAAUUUAGGUAAGGCAACACGGCGAUAUCGAAAUGUGUUCACCAACCGUCCAGGCACGAUAUCCGACGAACGGAAUCUGAGUUCGAAAUACUCUUUUUUUCCAGCAAUGAACUGGAAGUGAUUGAUACGCUAUUGGAAGAUACACGGUAUCCCAUAGGUAUAGGUAUAGAUAUACUAUAUGGAUUUGUCUUAUGGUAGCUAUUGGUAACCAUUCUACAUAUAUGAAGGUGAUCGAAUUGAGAUCAAGGAACGAAACAAAUCGCGUUGGUAGCUCUGCUGUUGAUAUCUGUCAACGAAAUUGACGUUGAAAAAGUAUCUUUUUUCUGGCUUUUGAGAAAGAAAGAGGGAAUGCAAAGUAGGAUGGAUUUCGAUUGAUAAGGUUCAAAAAAAAUACUGUGUGAAUGAGGGGUGUCUUUAAAGAUUUAUCUUAAAGGAUUCCAUCGAAGGGUCUGUAUAUACAUAUAUAUAUAUACGUAUAUAUAAGUUGAAAAUAUUCCUGCUCUCUUUUAGUAUGGAAGUUUGAAUUACGACCCAGGACUGGUUGUGACGUUCGAGGAAUAAAGAACUGCGCAAUUCCUUUUUAUUGACAAAUUUUUUUUUUUUUUUUUUUCGUUUUACGUUUAUACCUAUACGGAAUACUUUAUUACACGUAAAACACAUAUUUUCAGCCACUGUUCCAAGCCAUUAUAUUAUAACCGACCUAUGUCGGUGUUAAAUGCCCUCGUUAAUUCUGACUCUUCUGUAUUUCGAAGCACGUAUGUACAUACAUGGUAUAUCUCUGGACGUAUAUUUCUGUCUGGCUAUCUGUUUGCUUUAGGUUUUCGCGUUGAUAGGAAACCUCGCUGGUAGAUGUCGAUGUCAAUAUUUCAAGAAACCUUCCAGCACAUAAACUUCAGUGAGAUGACCUAUGCGAGAUUGGGACAGACAUCUUGGUAUCUCGGGAGCUGUACCAAUUCGAUCUGUAUCGACGAAGGAGAAGCAACGAAGGAAGAGAGAGGGAUGUCGCGAACUAAGGAUAGGUUAUACUUGAGGGUUACUCUCUUGUGCUUUGGAUAUUCCCUGCAGUGAAUUGUUCGAGUAAGGGUGUAUUGCGUACGGAGCAAAAAAAAAGUGAAUCGCAUUUGCGAGUUUCAUGAAUUCAUUUUAUUAGUCUUUUUUUAAUCUUUUUUUGCAUAUUCUUGUGACAGGUAGUGACGUAUCCGGUCAUAUAGGGUUCUAGUUGUUUGUGACUCAUGGUGAAGUACGAUUACGAUUCUGGAUUUAAGUCCAGUCGAAGUUCACUUGAACUUCCGGUUCGCCAGAGGUUUGAUUAUCGGCCGCCUGCAAGCGCCAUAACUCUUUCGCGAAAUGUCAGGAAUGGUAUAGACCAACUGAGGCCGACGACCUCAUGGGAACUUAUAAGUAGGUUCAAGGGUCAUUAGGUCACUGUUCAGGCCCUUAAGGUAUUUUAAAAGAGCGAGAAAAAGCGCUUUCUCAAAAUUCUUCGUUCAAUUUAAUUUGAAUAUAUCCUCAUGAUUUACUCGAGAAAUCUAAUGAAAUAGUCGGGCUUGGGCUUUCCGCUAAAUCCAAUAUGCCGUGCAGCUAUUAAGCUCAAAUGAAUUUUGAAUUUACUUUCACGAGGUCUGUUGCUUUUAAAUGGUUUAAGCGUAUCGGGAUAAUGUGUAAAGCGAUUUUUACUUUACGAAAUGAA